rnacentral:rRNA from 1 species
AACAGGAUUAGAUACCCUGGUAGUCCACGCCCUAAACGAUGCGAACUGGAUGUUGGGUUCAACUUGGAACCCAGUAUCGAAGCUAACGCGUUAAGUUCGCCGCCUGGGGAGUACGGUCGCAAGACUGAAACUCAAAGGAAUUGACGGGGGCCCGCACAAGCGGUGGAGUAUGUGGUUUAAUUCGAUGCAACGCGAAGAACCUUACCUGGUCUUGACAUCCACGGAACUUUCCAGAGAUGGAUUGGUGCCUUCGGGAACCGUGAGACAGGUGCUGCAUGGCUGUCGUCAGCUCGUGUCGUGAGUUGCUGGGUUAAGUCCCGCAACGAGCGCAACCCUUGUCCUUAGUUGCCAGCACGUAAUGGUGGGAACUCUAAGGAGACCGCCGGUGACAAACCGGAGGAAGGUGGGGAUGACGUCAAGUCAUCAUGGCCCUUACGACCAGGGCUACACACGUACUACAAUGGGAAGGACAGAGGGCUGCAAUCCCGCGAGGGGGAGCCGAUCCCAGAAACCUUCUCUCAGUCCGGAUCGGAGUCUGCAACUCGACUCCGUGAAGUCGGAAUCGCUAGUAAUCGCAGAUCAGCAUUGCUGCGGUGAAUACGUUCCCGGGCCUUGUACACACCGCCCGUCACACCAUGGGAGUUUGUUGCACCAGAAGCAGGUAGCUUAACCUUCGGGAGGGCGCUUGCCACGGUGUGGCCGAUGACUGGGGUGAAGUCGUAACAAGGUAACC